rnacentral:rRNA from 1 species
UGGAAUCGCUAGUAAUCGCGGAUCAGCACGCCGCGGUGAAUACGUUCCCGGGCCUUGUACACACCGCCCGUCACACCAUGGAAGUCUGCAAUGCCCGAAGCCGGUGGCCUAACCACUUAUGUGGAAGGAGCCGUCUAAGGCAGGGCAGAUGACUGGGGUGAAGUCGUAACAAGGUACC